rnacentral:tRNA from 1 species
GCAUUGGUGGUUCAAUAGUAGAAUUCUCACCUUCCAUAUGGGAGACUGGGGUUCAAUUCCCAGCUAUCGCA